rnacentral:rRNA from 1 species
CCUACGGGAGGCAGCAGUGGGGAAUAUUGGACAAUGGGCGAAAGCCUGAUCCAGCAAUGCCGCGUGAGUGAUGAAGGCCUUCGGGUCGUAAAGCUCUUUUACCAGGGAUGAUAAUGACAGUACCUGGAGAAUAAGCUCCGGCUAACUCCGUGCCAGCAGCCGCGGUAAUACGGAGGGAGCUAGCGUUGUUCGGAAUUACUGGGCGUAAAGAGUACGUAGGCGGUUAUUCAAGUCAGAGGUGAAAGCCCGGGGCUCAACCCCGGAACUGCCUUUGAAACUAGAUAACUAGAGUCUUGGAGAGGUUAGUGGAAUUCCGAGUGUAGAGGUGAAAUUCGUAGAUAUUCGGAAGAACACCAGUGGCGAAGGCGACUAACUGGACAAGUACUGACGCUGAGGUACGAAAGCGUGGGGAGCAAACAGGAUUAGAUACCCUGGUAGUCCACGCCGUAAACGAUGAUAACUAGUUGUUCGGUCACUUGGUGACUGAGUGACGACAGCUAACGACAUUAAGUUAUUCCGUCCGUCGGGUAGGUACGGUCGCGAAGAAUUAAAACUAACAAAGAAGUUAGACGGCGUGAGACGNGACCGAACGGACGACACGAGGGAGUAGG